rnacentral:rRNA from 1 species
UCGAUUAAAGAGCUACACGAGCUGGGUUAAAUACGUCGUGAGACAGUAUGGUUUCUAUCUUCUAGAGGAAAUUAGAGUAAAAUAAGGAUAGCCCCUUCGUACGAAAGGAGUUGGGUAUGCUAACCCCUGGUUUACCUGUUGUUU